ACGAACGUACACAAACUUCAAUUCUGACGUCAACAUCACUGAAGGCGACGUGAAGAUUAGUGCACAGAAUAAAACGGAAAUUAACAUUAAUUACAUUAAUUAGAGAGACUGAGGACAGAACAUUGAAAUCUACAAAUGGUUAUUGUCAGGAAAGAUAUACUGAAUGAGCUGGAGUGUCCGGUGUGUACGGAGUACAUGUUACCACCGAUCGCCAUGUGUGUGAACGGACAUAGCAUUUGUUCCAAGUGCAGAGAGAAACUUUUUAACUGCCCAACCUGCAGAUAUCCAUUUUCAACAGCCAGAUGUCUGCUCACUGAAAAUAUGGUCAGAAAAAUCAGGUUUCCCUGCAGAUAUUCUGAGAGAGGAUGCAGAAAGCUGUUUCUCCCAGAAAAUAUUGGGCCCCAUACUGAGGAGUGUCCUUGCCGCCCCUUCAAGUGUCCAUUCUCGUGCCUUGCCAAACUAAGUUGCUCUUGGGUCGGUAACGCUACCAGCGUUAGGAAUCAUAUUCGGAAUACGCAUAACGAGAGCAUAACUGCUGAUAAGAAGAAAAAUUAUGGCAUUGAAUACCUGCAAUUAGGAAACUGCGUUGAACAAAGUGAGAACAAAGUUUGGCGUGAGGCCAUUUUCUGUAUCGGCGAGACAUUCUUCAUGUACAACAAGAUGCUAGAUCAUAAAAUGUACUUCUCUCUCUACCACGUGGGAUUGAGGUUCAAGACGGCAAAUUAUAGAUACAGGGUGUCACUUUAUAAAAACGAUAGAUCAGGACGUGUCUCGGCAUGCAAAACGACAACAUCUCUUCUGAAUAAGAAGACAUUUGAAGUAAAGGACUGCGUUGUUUUUCCAGAGGAACUAUGGAAAAAAUGUAUCUUUAACAGCGACCGUUUGUUAUAUAAGAUACAAAUUUGCAGGAACACUUAACACUAAUUCUACAGUGACUCUAAUGACAUGAAAAUUUGUUCUAAUUUCAGUAAUUGAAUCCUCUUGGUAACCGAUUUAAAUGUAAUUAGACGUGUGUGUGUUGAUUAACAUCAUUCUGCCAUGUAAUAAUAAGUUACAUUACUUGGUUGGUCCUUCGGAACCACGGCAUGGGGCGUCUUCCUGUUAAGGAAGUUAGCUGCGAAUAUAUUGAAUAAGCAUUCCUCCAUCUUGGGGGUUGGGUGUGAGGCUAACAACCUUUCACCUUAAAAAAACAGCAUUUUUACGAAAAAUCUUACCGAGCCUCGGACUGUUUGGCAUGACCACGGCAAUUGAAAAAUUAUUCGAAAUAGGAGUGCCGUCACAGCGGCAACGCGAUCUGAGGCUUGGGCCUUGUGUCGCUUGGUCGCUGGGACCGUGGGUUUGAAUCCCACUCAAGCCAUGGAUGUUUUUCUGCGUUGUGCUGUCCUGUGUACAGGUAGAGGCCUUCGACGGGCUGAUCACUCGUCCAAGGAGUCCUACCAACUGUCUAACAGAUCAAAGUCAAUGAAAGUUGAGACCCGCAGAUGAUCAAGGCACUGAAGAACGGAUCGUCUAAGUAAGCAAGUGUUUGAAAUAGGAGUUGAAGGCGAAUGGAUUUUGUUGGCUCAGGACAGGGACUGUCUGAGGGCUUUGAUUAAUUCGAUGAUGAACCUUUGAGUUCCUUAAGCCAACUAGUUAGUAAGAAAUAUCCGCCUGUACGGCUUAUUUAUUUUGGUGUCUUAUUUUAAACAUUCUCACUAACUAUUUCGGUCUUCGGAGACCAUCUUGUGGAGGUACACAGAGACAUUUACUGAAAUGUGACAAAUAUUUUGAUUAAAUUGUACAAAACAAAUACACUGCCUGGAUUUAAAAAACAGAUUUUUAAAACGUUAAUAACAAUGUUUUCUAAGAAAAAAUACAUUAAAUAACUACACUUUAUGUUCAAACCUGUAUUAAUCUUUAACGUGGAUUUUAAAAGCACUUCAAUCUUAUAACAAGGAGUAUUUGUUAUAGAUAUUUUAAUCUUAAUAGAGGUCUCACAGUUCAAUAAAAACCUUGUAUAAGAAAAUGGUAAAUGAGACACCUGAAUGAAUAAGUUGUGUAGACAGAUGACAUUAUUAAUAUGAAAUGCGUGUGUGUUGCUUGUUCAAACCACACUUUUUAU